CCUGUGUACUUGAAGUGUUCCUAGAGGCUUUAGAGAUGAGAAUGUUGCCUUCUAUUCUGGCAAUGUAUAAUGUACCUAUCCUGGGUAUUAGCUGUGGAGAAAAAAGUAUCAAACUCUAACAACGCCGAAGUCCUGGGGUUGCUCAGAAGUGCAGGCAAAAAUUGAGUACUAGAAGCACAGCAAAAGAGGACAAAUAGCAGAAGGGCUGGCAGGAGGCCCCACAACAGCUGCUGGGAGGAAAACCCAGGAUUGCUCACAGCACACGUGGUCUGAUUCUUCCUCGUCAGCGUAUUGUUGUUCUCUCUCCAGAGAAUUACAAUACAGACACAAGAAAAUUAAUUCCUGUCAUAGAAGGAGACAAGAAUUAUGAGGAACAAAAUAGUAAGGAACUUCACAACCUUAAUAUAACUGAACUCCCAAACUGUCA
ensembl:lncRNA